GAGGUGGUCAAAAGACCUGCUAACUCUUUAAUCUGGCAUUAAAUAACCCAGCCCCCUCU
rnacentral:tRNA from 1 species